UACGGGGGGGGUAAGCGUUGUUCGGAAUUACUGGGCGUAAAGGGCUCGUAGGCGGCCAACUAAGUCAGACGUGAAAUCCCUCAGCUUAACUGGGGAACUGCGUCUGAUACUGGAUGGCUUGGAUUUGGGAGAGGAAUGCGGAAUUCCUGGUGUAGCGGUGAAAUGCGCAGAUAUCAGGAGGAACACCGGUGGCGAAGGCGGGUCUCUGGGCAAUAACUGACGCUGAGGAGCGAAAGCGUGGGGAGCGAACAGG
rnacentral:rRNA from 1 species